UACAUAUUUUGUUCUAAUUUCCAGAACAGUACAGACCUUUGUGUUCCUCAAGACACCUGUGGACUUAAUGUUUGUCUAAAGUAUCAGACUGACCUAGCAGACUCCUCCAAUCUUGGGGAUGAGAAUAAGAAUACAGAUCCUCAUCAUUUCACCAGUGACCAGUCCAAAGUCCAGUCAGAUGAGGUUGAAGGUCCACUAAUUGGUA
rnacentral:sRNA from 1 species